UCCCAGGACUGUGUCUCCUGGAGCUGAGGACCCCCCACACCUGGAGGAGGGGCCCUGCUCUGCUCACACACCUGGUGCUCACUCCAGUCUCUGCUCCCCAGGUUACAGCUGCCCCCACAACUCUGCCUCUCAGGAACUUCUAAACCUUGACACAAACAUCUACUGUCGGAUCAACCCCAAAGCAGAAGUUACUCAAUACUUUCCCCAAGGAACUUGGGCAGCCAAGGGGAGGGGCCACGUGAGACCACAGAGCCUGGGAAGGAGCUGAGCCUGUGCCCGAGGUUCACCUGGGUGCUCGGGGAGGGGGCAGGUCCCUCCUGGACUACUGGAGACCCGGAGAGGCCACUCUGAGCUCAGACUCAGCCGGGACAAAAUCCUCCCAACCCACCCCUCUGGGCCACCCCACAUGGCCUGUGACCUGCCAUGGAUUACUUGGAAAGAAUUUGAAUAAAGAGGACACUUCCUCUCAUUUGGUUCAUUUCUACUCACGGG
rnacentral:lncRNA from 1 species